CCAGGCACAUCCACAGAUCCCUCCAGUAAGGCCUCAAACAAGUUACUUCCCCUCACCCUGAUAAAGAGAGUGAAGCCUCUGGCAGGCUGUCCUUGCCUGAUAAGAAGGAAAGGCAAGAAAAUCGGGGUGGAGAUGACCCCAGGGUAAAUGAUGUCACUGAGAAAUAAGGUGGUAGCUGAUAAGGAUUGAAAGGGUGAUCAAAAGCCCCAAAAUUUAGUAUAAAUGAUAGAGCUGAUGAACAGGAAUUCAGCCAGCUGAAACAAGGAUGCACAUAAGCUGGAGAGCCUGCUGAGGACCUGACAUCCCAUCACUUGGCAUCUUUCCUGAGACCCUGGGAGAUCCUCACCAUUCUCAAACUCUACUGCCUCCUCUGGACCUUGGUGAGAGCUGCAACUCCUCUCUACAACCUCCUCCUCAACUGGUCAUCUGCUCCACCAAGAAAAGCCUGCCUUGGUUCUAGACAUGAUCACCUUGGUCUGAGUUUCAGAUGCACCAACAUUUUCAGGAAAAGCCACAAGCCCAUCUGCAUCCUGCCUAGGAAGCAACGUACCCCCAGAAGCUGACCCAGCGCUCUCAGCUUCCUGGGUUUCAACUGAUAGUUAAACAAGAAAGAAAUAAUAACCCUGCUCAGCUCUGCCAGAAAACCCGCAUAUAAAACAUAAAAAUUUGCCACUUGGGGCCAAUACAGCCUGUCAUAUUAACUCCCAUAAUGGAAAGUAAAUACAAUUUUAUUCUCUUCUCUUAA